AUCUAGUUGACGAGUCCCAAAUAGGAAGAGACGAGCGUCUUGGAU
rfam:Schistosoma mattheei strain Denwood, Zambia genome assembly, scaffold: SMTD_scaffold0000588